GUUGAACGCUGGCGGCAGGCCUAACACAUGCAAGUCGAACGAGUGGCGGCCGGGUGAGUAAUUGCUGGGAAACUGCCUGAUGGAGGGGGCUAACUACUGGAAACGUUAGCUACUACCGCUUACCAUCGUAUCUGCCCAGAUGGGAUUAGCUAGCAGGUGGGGUAACGGCUCACCUAGGCGACGAUCCCGAGCUGAUCUGCGAGGAGGACCAGCCACACUGGAACUGAGACACGGUCCAGACUCCUACGGGAGGCAGCAGUAGGGAAUAUUGCACAAUGGGCGAAAGCCUGAUGCAGCAAUGCCGCGUGAAUGAAGAAGGCUUUCGGGUUGUAAAGUACUUUCAGCGGAGAAGCGUUACCCGCAGAGGAAGCACCGGCUAACUCCGUGCCAGCAGCCGCGGUAAUUC
rnacentral:rRNA from 1 species